rnacentral:rRNA from 1 species
CCUACGGGUGGCAGCAGUAGGGAAUCUUCCACAAUGGGCGAAAGCCUGAUGGAGCAACGCCGCGUGGGUGAAGAAGGUCUUCGGAUCGUAAAACCCUGUUGUUAGAGAAGAAAGUGCGUGAGCGUAACUGUUCACGUUUCGACGGUAUCUAACCAGACAGCCACGGCUCACUACGUGCCAGUCGCCGCGGUAGUACGUAGGUGGCAAGCGUUAGCCGGAUUUAUUGGGCGUAAAGGGAACGCAGACGGUCUUUUAAGUCUGAUGUGAAAGCCUUCGGCUUAACCGGAGUAGUGCAUUGGAGACUGGGAGACUUGAGUGCAGAAGAGGAGGGUGGAACUCGAGGUGUAGCGGUGAAAUGCGUAGAUAUAUGGAAGAACACCAGUGGCGAAGGCGGCUCUCUGGUCUGUAACUGACGCUGAGGUUCGAAAGCGUGGGUAGCAAACAGGAUUAGAUACCCCAGUAGUC